AACGAACGCUGGCGGCAGGCCUAACACAUGCAAGUCGAGCGAGGACUUCGGUCCUAGCGGCGGACGGGUGAGUAACGCGUGGGAACGUGCCCUUUGCUUCGGAAUAGCCCUGGGAAACUGGGAGUAAUACCGAAUGUGCCCUUAGGGGGAAAGAUUUAUCGGCAAAGGAUCGGCCCGCGUUGGAUUAGGUAGUUGGUGGGGUAAUGGCCUACCAAGCCGACGAUCCAUAGCUGGUUUGAGAGGAUGAUCAGCCACACUGGGACUGAGACACGGCCCAGACUCCUACGGGAGGCAGCAGUGGGGAAUCUUGGACAAUGGGCGCAAGCCUGAACUAGCCAUGCCGCGUGAGCGAUGAAGGCCUUAGGCUUGUAAAUCUCUUUCAGCGAGGAAGAUAAUGACUGUACUCGCAGAAGAAGCCCCGGCUAACUCCGUGCCAGCAGCCGCCGUAAGAC
rnacentral:rRNA from 1 species